rnacentral:rRNA from 1 species
CCUACGGGAGGCAGCAGUGGGGAAUAUUGGGCAAUGGAGGAAACUCUGACCCAGCAACGCCGCGUGAAUGAUGAAGGUCUUCGGAUUGUAAAGUUCUUUUCGAAGGGAAGAAGAAAGUGACGGUACCUUAGGAAUAAGCCUCGGCUAACUACGUGCCAGCAGCCGCGGUAAUACGUAGGAGGCGAGCGUUAUCCGGAAUGACUGGGAGUAAAGGGGGCGUAGGUGGUUUGGCAAGUUAGUAGCGUAACUCAAAGGCUCAACCUUGGAACUACUACUAAAACUGUUGGACUUGAGGGCAGGAGGGGCAUCCGGAAUGCCUAGUGUAGCGGUGGAAUGCGUAGAUAUUAGGAGGAACACCAGUGGCGAAGGCGGGUUGCUAGACUGUAACUGACACUGAGGCACGAAAGCGUGGGGAGCAAACAGGAUUAGAUACCCCAGUAGUC